AGGCAGUUGAGAGUUAUUCUCUUAACUUACAAGGAAGAGGUUGGGGGUUCGAGUCCCUCCGUGCCUACCA
rnacentral:tRNA from 1 species